AACAGUCACAGGCAGUGUGCAAAAUAUACGUAAAGCAAUGCACACUUCUCCAAAAAUGCUUUUUCAGCUGCAUUUUACAAAUUGCAUUCAGGAGACAAAGAGGGGACAAGUUAGGGGGGAAGUGGCAGCAUAUACAGUGUUCAGGUGUCAGGAGACAAAGAGGGGACAAGUUAGGGGGGAAGUGUCAGCAUAUACAGUGUUCAGGUGUCAGGAGACAAAGAGGGGACAAGUUAGGGGGGAAGUGUCAGCAUAUACAGUGUUCAGGUGUCAGGAGACAAAGAGGGGACAAGUUAGGGGGGGGAAGUGGCAGCAUAUACAGUGUUCAGGU